rnacentral:lncRNA from 1 species
GGCGCCAAGCCACACGUCCCUAGCGAUGAAACCAACCGGACCACCCUUUUUGAAGCCGACGGUAUUCGACGGUUUUGGAACACGGGCGGGACACGCCAAAAAACGUUAUGGGAACACCGCCCACGGUUGGCGUGUCGUUCGUUAAUUUUUAAUAUUUUUUUGGCAAGGGGAACACCGGGGCGGGGGAACACGGCGGGGAGCGGGUAAUUUGAAAAUUUUUAAACUUUUUUAUGGGCAAAAAUUUAUAAUUAGUGAAAAAGUUAAGGGAAAAAAGUGUAAUUUGUCCUAUAUAUACUAUUAAAUUCCUAGGCUCGGUCAAUUUCUCCCAAAUCCAAUCGAGAUUCGACGAGCCCUAAUUUCUUAAAAAGGAAAUUAUAGUACAUAGUCCUUUAUUCAUUCAUUAAAAAGGAAAAAUGACCACACAAAGGGCGGAGACUUGGUGUUGGUUCAUAGCAAUCUCCGUCUUUUGUCAAGAAGAAGUCCACAAUAUUGUAGCGGGGAGAAUAAGAUGUGGGAUAUUGCGGGAGACCAAUUUGGCUCAAUUGAAGAUGUUGGUAUGCUUGAGGUUGCAAACCUCUCUCUUGAUGAACCCGAGUAGUUGGAGGUUGCAGUCUUUACGGACGAUGGAGACAUUGAGGGAAUCAAUAGCGAGGUUGAAGUGACGGAAAUUGGGUCUAGUUAAAAUUUGGCAACAUGGUCAUGGUGCUUAGUUAUUUAUUUUGACUUAUUAUUAUGCAACUAUGGAUAUUCUCUUUCAAUUGGGUUGUAAGUUGUAACUGUUAGAAUAAGAACAUAUAAUUUGUUAUCAAAGAAUAUAUAUUAUUAUAAUAUUAUAUAUAAUAUUAUAUGCUGUGUCCCCCGCCGCCGUCCGUGUCCAUUUUUUCAAAAAUGCGUUGUCCGUGUCCGUAUUGUGUCCGUGUCCGUGCACAUAGGUCCCUAGUAAUCCUGCCAUAGGUGAUGGGUAUUGCUUGGACGUCCCAUGGAUGAGGCACUGACCCAAGAGGUCCCUAGGCCAUGCUCUUGAUCUAAGCAAGUUGUGUAGCAUCAAGAUGCAAGUCUUCAAUUGAGCAGAGUCAAUGCGGCAGAGUGGUCCCCAAUGGCUGUGGGGCUCGUAGCCUUGGUGUUGGUGACGUGGCAGUCAAUUCAAUUGGGAUAUAUAUAUAUAUAUAGCUACAACGUUCUCAAGUGCCCUACUAAUUUGUCAUGCAACAUAUGGCCUCUUUUGAUCAACAAAAUGUGAAUCUAAACAAAAUUACAUAUAAUAUCGUAAUUCAUUUCACAAAGAUAUGCUACCUACAAAUUUGCGAUGUUCUAGAAGUACAAUACAGAUGUCAAAGCAUA